rnacentral:rRNA from 1 species
UACGAAGGGUGCAAGCGUUACUCGGAAUUACUGGGCGUAAAGCGUGCGUAGGUGGUUCGUUAAGUCUGAUGUGAAAGCCCUGGGUUCAACCUGGGAAUGGCAUUGGAAACUGGCGACCUAGAGUGCGGUAGAGGGUAGUGGAAUUCCCGGUGUAGCAGUGAAAUGCGUAGAGAUCGGGAGGAACAUCUGUGGCGAAGGCGACUGCCUGGACCAGCACUGACACUGAGGCACGAAAGCGUGGGGAGCAAACAGG